GCCUGGAUAGCUCAGUUGGUAGAGUGCAGCCUUGGUAAGGCUGAGGUCGGCAGUUCAAUCCUGCUUUCAGGCUCCA
rnacentral:tRNA from 1 species